rnacentral:rRNA from 1 species
GACGAACGCUGGCGGCGUGCCUAAUACAUGCAAGUAGAACGCAGUUUCGAAGAGGUGAGUAACGCGUAGGUACCUGCCAGGUAGCGGGGUAUAACAAUAGGAAACGAUAGCUACUACCGCAUCUUACCAGAUGGACCUUCGUUGUAUUAGCUAGUUGGUGAGGUAACGUCUCACCAAGGCAACGCUACAUAGCCGACCUGAGAGGGUGAUAGGGCAAACGUGGACUGAGACACGGCCCAGACUACUACGGGAGGCAGCAGUAGGGAAUCUGCGGCAAUGGGGGGAACCCUGACCAAGCAACGCGGCGUGAGUGACGAAGGUUUUCGGAACGUAAAGCUCUGUUGUUAAGGAAGUGGUACUUGACCAGAAAGGGACGGGUAACUACGUGCCAGAGGCCGCGGUAAUAC